rnacentral:sRNA from 1 species
GUGCACCUGUGUCUUCCAGGAGCCGCUUACCGAAUGCUUCCUGGAUGUGGGGCUAUGUAAGAGGGUAUUUUCAGUUUCCUCUGUGCCACAGAUGUUGCCAGGCAAUUCUCAACAGUGCCACCAAGGACCACCCCCAGCCCUGCCAUUCUCAUCUGAUUAUUUCGCCUUUGCAUCUUCCAAUGAGUUGGAGAUUGCUUUCGCUAACGGUAUAUGUGAUCAGUGGGAACAGCUGGAAAUGUAAAGCCCACGCUGGGGUCAAACAGUGAGGUCAUUGCCCAGCUCCUCCUAGUCUCACCUGGAUUUAUAAGCUUAAUAGUUCCUGCUCUGAGUAGCCUGUCACCCUCCUUUUAUAUUUUUUAUCUGCAGAAUCAAAUUCUAGUUACAUCACCAAGUCCCUCUUAAACCCUGGCUGGAGUAUGACAGACUUCCUGUAGGUUAUAAUUAAAGACCUUGUCACCACAGAGUACUCGUAAGUGACCAUGCAGUUUCCUGAAACACCCCUUCCAUUCCUUUCUCAACUAAAACCCCUCUAGGAUUCCAUAUCUUAGACGGAUAUGAGUGUGCCGAGGAGAUGAUACAAUUCAAACAUGUGUUUAUUCUAUUAUGUGUUCUUUAACUUUGAAGUUUGAAGUCUUUCGUAAAUACCAUUGUUCACAGCACCAAACUGCUACGAUUUGAGUACCUUGGCCUCCCCCACCCCAAGAGCACAAACGUGUUGGCAUCUCUCUCUUGCUCUGCUGUUAAGUUUUUCCCCUGCUGUUUGUGGGGAUUCUAACAAAUUGUGUUUGUUCAUCCACGCAGAGCCAGCUCACCGCUUGCCCUUCCCAGACCCAGUGGCCACCGCUGCCAACUCUGCAGCUGCAGACUGGCUGCGGAUUUCAGGCUGCUGCAGCAUGGGUGCUGGCUUCUCACGCCACCUCCUCAGCUGCCCUGCGGCAGCUCCUGUUCCAGGCCCCCCAGUCAGGCAAGCUUCUGUGUUCUAGCUCAUGAUGACAAAAAGGGUCCGAGAACAGGACUCGUUAGCCUUAAAGCACAAAUCGCGGCUGCUGCUUCCGAGUGAAGUUUGCUGCUCCUUAGCUGUGGCUUGAACCAGCAUCCGGACCUGCUCCUGUUGGAAUUCUGAGCUUGCAGUCUCUUGAGUCUAACAAACUCAGAUUUUUGUUACUGCCAGCAGCUUCUCUCCUUUGGGACUCCUGUUCACACUUGGCCAGUUUUGUGUUUGAAAACAACAGCGUUUCUGUAUUGAACGUUUUGCCUGAGUGACCUUCCACUCCCGCGUGUGUUGAAGAAGAGAAGGGAGGGGACUUCUGGAAAAUAUCUAAUUCCUGUUUCACAGGCCGGUUGGACUCUUUGAUGUGCUGGGACUUCUGUAUUAAUUCAAGGGGAUUCUACGUUCUAUAUCAUUUGGCAUCUUGUAAAAACAUCAUUAAUGAUGAGGCUAUAAGAAUUACCCUGAAAUAUAGUCUAUAAGAAUGACAUGGCUAAUUCCCCUGACAUUCGAUACAAUUUAAAUCAGUCUGUUCAUAUGCCUGUAUUAAUGGGCGUCAGGCCUUCAUGAAUAUUCAUUUAAAGCAUUCUCAAAUACUUAGCUGGGCAUAGUGGUGAGUGCCUUUAAUUCAUCUCUCAGGAGGCAGUGGCAAGAGGAUCUCUGUGAAUUUGAGGUCUUCAGCACAGCAAACCCUAAGCUAGCCAAAGCUAGAAAGAGGUACCCUGUCUCAAAAACCAUAUAGACAGAUAGACAAACAAGAAAGUCCCCCUAGAUGAAAGACUUUUUAACAAUUGGAAGUUUAUAUGCACAGAUAAAGGGAGAGGAGUGGCCAUCAGUUGGGGUAGGAGGGCUUUGAAGCUUGAGGGAUUUAGUGACGUCGUUUUUAUUCUUGUAAAGUCUGUUUCAUGCUUUAUUUGAGAGUAUUACCUAGUCAGGCAGACAUAACUGCUACUGAAAGAGGCAACGUUUGUUUCUUGAUAGUAAAAUACUAGGGAACAAAAUAGGACUUAAAGUGGAAUCUCCUCAGAGUGGCUUUCUCCCCAAGCUUGAGGAAAAAUGGUAGGUGGUAGAGAUCAUUUACUUUGAAUGACUCUACUAAGACAGAAUGGUUCCUGGGAUCAUCGUAGCCAGAGAUACAGGAAGAAGCGAGGAUGCUGGAAAUGAGGGACUCCACCCUAGAGACUCUUCCCACUGCGGAAAGAUAUUUCAAAGCUUCCGAAGGCAUUAAUCCUGCGGAUGAACUGAGGGGGGCUGUGCUGGGAAAAGUCCAAAUUCUCACGUAGCCAGCAGAGAGCCUGUGGCCAGCUCAUAGUACUAUUCUCUGAGCAUUCUAGAUUUUCAGAGGAACACAGGAAGAAGACAUAGGCUUUGGGAAACACAGCAUGACCCUUCUCCUAAUUACUAGCUUUUGUUUAUACCUAUAUUUAUAUGUACACAAUAUGUAGACUUGCUUCUCCUAAAUAUAGUAAUAGCUGUAAUAAAAACUCAACAACACAAACUUCCUUUCCAUUUUUAAAACUGCAUUUGCAUAAUAGCUAUUCCUGUCUUUGAGGACCAUUAGUGACCUGUAUAUAGAACAACCCAGUAUGACAAGAGAAACUUUUAUUAAGGGAUUCAGGAUGCUGUAAGCGUCAACUGAAGUUCUGGCAAGGAUAUUCCAGAUACAAUUUCUAGUCAAAGCCAAGUAUCAAUUAUUUUUAUAGAUAACAAAAUGAUGUUUUGUACUUAUACAGUUAAAACCCCAAUACUAAGAUUAGUAGAGACAUUUAUAAACUUUUUUCUUUUGAGAUGGGAUCUUUCGAAUACCAGGCUAGCCUGUAACUCACUAUAUAGCCAAGGCUAGUUUUGAACUCCCGAUCCUCCAAUCUCUGCCUUCUAAGUUCGAGGAUUGUAAGAAUGUCCCACAUACCCUACACAUUUAUAGACGUUCACAAGGAGAGGUGUGCAGGACAAAUUUCCCAUAUGUUUUUUAAGCAAGAAAUCUUUUAUUUUGAAAGGCAAAUAACACAUUUUUCUUCAUGUAGAACCUAAAUUUCAGUUUAUAUGUGUGUACACACACAAACAUGCAUACAUGCAUGUAAAGUAGAAAAGAGAGGAAGGUACGCUCGUCUUUAGGAAGGAGAAGGGGGAGCAAGGAGAGGUAACAGACCAUUUGCAAUCAGUCAGAUGAAGGAGGAGACCUAUAAAAAGGAGUUUGGGGAUGAGGGUAUGGGGUGGCAGUGGGGAGCAAAUUAACAAAAUAUAACAAAUUAUAAUGAUCUGUGUAUAUGCAAAUGUCACAAUUAAACCCAUUACUUUAUAUGCCAAGUAAAAAUUAAAAUAACUAAAAAUGCUUUAAUUAAUUAAAAUUACUGUGACAGGGUCUCACUAUGUGGACAGACAGGGUCUGUCCUGUACUCACCCUGUAGACCAGGUUGGCCUCAAACACACAGAAAUUUUUGUGCCUCUGCCAACUGCUGGGAUUUAAGGUGUUUGCCACUACGCCAAGGUGAAAUCCUUGAUUUUUAGAUCUCUUUCUAGUUGAUGGGAAUUUGUACACUAUAUUACAUCAGCAACAAAAGCAGAGGGAGUGAGAAAACAGAAUCUAAGCCUAGAACCUGGGAGUGGCAGGAGGGAGGGAGGGAGGGUGAUCUUGAUUUAAAGGUCACCAGUAUUUACCACGGAAAGAUUGUUAUGUUGUUUGAAGUAUAUCACACAAUUCUUUUUCUUU